UACGUAGGGUGCAAGCGUUGUCCGGAAUUAUUGGGCGUAAAGAGCUUGUAGGCGGUUUGUCGCGUCUGCUGUGAAAUUUCGGGGCUCAACCCCGAACUUGCAGUGGGUACGGGCAGACUAGAGUGUGGUAGGGGAGACUGGAAUUCCUGGUGUAGCGGUGAAAUUCGUAGAUAUUGGGAAGAACACCUGAGGUGAAGACGGGUUGCUGGGCCGACACUGACGCUGAUGCGCGAAAGCCAGGGGAGCAAACGGG
rnacentral:rRNA from 1 species